rnacentral:rRNA from 1 species
ACCGGAUUAGAUACCCUGGUAGUCCACGCCGUAAACGAUGUCGACUUGGAGGCUGUUCCCUUGAGGAGUGGCUUCCGGAGCUAACGCGUUAAGUCGACCGCCUGGGGAGUACGGCCGCAAGGUUAAAACUCAAAUGAAUUGACGGGGGCCCGCACAAGCGGUGGAGCAUGUGGUUUAAUUCGAUGCAACGCGAAGAACCUUACCUGGCCUUGACAUCCAGAGAACUUUCCAGAGAUGGAUUGGUGCCUUCGGGAACUCUGAGACAGGUGCUGCAUGGCUGUCGUCAGCUCGUGUUGUGAAAUGUUGGGUUAAGUCCCGCAACGAGCGCAACCCUUAUCCUUUGUUGCCAGCGAUUCGGUCGGGAACUCAAAGGAGACUGCCGGUGAUAAACCGGAGGAAGGUGGGGAUGACGUCAAGUCAUCAUGGCCCUUACGGCCAGGGCUACACACGUGCUACAAUGGCGCAUACAAAGAGAAGCGACCUCGCGAGAGCAAGCGGACCUCAUAAAGUGCGUCGUAGUCCGGAUCGGAGUCUGCAACUCGACUCCGUGAAGUCGGAAUCGCUAGUAAUCGUGGAUCAGAACGCCACGGUGAAUACGUUCCCGGGCCUUGUACACACCGCCCGUCACACCAUGGGAGUGGGUUGCAAAAGAAGUAGGUAGCUUAACCUUCGGGAGGGCGCUUACCACUUUGUGAUUCAUGACUGGGGUGAAGUCGUAACAAGGUAUC